UCUGUCUGUCCGUGUAUGUCACAGCCACUUUUUUCCGAAACUAUAAGAACACUGUUGAAACUUGGUAAGUAGAUGUAUUCUGUGAACCGCAUUAAGAUUUUCACACAAAAAUAGAAAAAAAAAACAAUAAAUUUUGGGGGUUCCCCAUACUUAGAACUGAAACUCAAAAAAAUUUUUUUCAUCAAACCUAUACGUGUGGGGUAUCUAUGGAUAGGUCUUCAAAAAUGAUAUUGAGGUUCCUAAUAUCAUUUUUUUCUAAACUGAAUAGUUUGCGCGAGAGACACUUCCAAAGUGGUAAAAAGUGU